rnacentral:rRNA from 1 species
UACGUAGGGUGCGAGCGUUAAUCGGAAUUACUGGGCGUAAAGCGUGCGCAGGCGGUUUUGUAAGCCAGAUGUGAAAUCCCCGGGCUUAACCUGGGAAUGGCAUUUGGGACUGCAAGGCUGGAGUGCGGCAGAGGAGACUGGAAUUCCUGGUGUAGCAGUGAAAUGCGUAGAUAUCGAGGAGGAAUACCGAUGGACGGAAGGCAGGUCUCUGGGAGCUG